rnacentral:rRNA from 1 species
GACGAGCCACACGAACGUUAUUCGGAAUUACUGGGCUUAAAGGGCGCGUAGGCGGCACUGUUAGUCAGGCGUGAAAGUCCUGGGCUCAACCUGGGAACUGCGCUUGAUACGGCAGAGCUAGAGGAUGGAAGAGGCUCGCGGAAUUCCCAGUGUAGAGGUGAAAUUCGUAGAUAUUGGGAAGAACACCGGUGGCGAAGGCGGCGAGCUGGUCCAUUACUGACGCUGAGGCGCGACAGCGUGGGGAGCAAACAGG